AGAGUUUGAUCCUGGCUCAAGAUUAACGCUUUCGGCAUGCCUAAUACAUGCAAGUCGAACGAAAAAUAUAGAAGUGCUUGCACAUUUAUAUUUUUAGUGGCGAACGGGUGAGUAAUAUAUAGAUAACCUGCCUUAAAGUUGGGGAUAACAGAGGGAAACCUCUGCUAAUACCGAAUACAAUAACUAGACGCAUGUUUAGUUAUUAAAAGGGGCUCCAAAGCCCCGCUCUAAGAGGGGUCUAUAUCGCAUUAGCUAGUUGGUAAGAUAACAGCCUACCAAGGCGAUGAUGCGUAGCUGUACUGAGAGGUAGAACAGCCACAUUGGGACUGAGAUACGGCCCAAACUCCUACGGGAGGCAGCAGUAGGGAAUUUUCGGCAAUGGGGGGAACCCUGACCGAGCAAUGCCGCGUGAUUGAAGAAGAUCUUCGGAUCGUAAAGAUCUGUUAUUAGGGAAGAAUGGAAUUGAUAGGAAAUGAUCAAUUUAUGACGGUGCCUAAUGAGGAAGCCCCGGCUAACUAUGUGCCAGCAGCCGCGGUAAUACAUAGGGGGCGAGCGUUAUCCGGAAUUAUUGGGCGUAAAGGGUACGUAGGCGGGCCUGCAAGUCUGAUUUGAAAGCACACGGCUUAACCGUGUGAGGUAAUUAGAAACUACAGGUCUAGAGAGUGGUAGAGGUAAAUGGAAUUCCAAGUGGAGCGGUGAAAUGCGUAGAGAUUUGGAGGAACACCAGUGGCGAAGGCGGUUUACUGGGCCACAUCUGACGCUGAUGUACGAAAGCGUGGGGAGCAAACAGGAUUAGAUACCCUGGUAGUCCACACCGUAAACGAUGAAUGCUAGGUGUAGGUGGUAUCGACCCCAUCUGUGCCGUAGUAAACACAAUAAGCAUUCCGCCUGGGGAGUACGGUCGCAAGAUUAAAACUCAAAGGAAUUGACGGGGGCCCGCACAAGCAGCGGAGCAUGUGGUUUAAUUCGAAGCAACGCGAAGAACCUUACCAGGUCUUGACAUCCAGUAAAGCCUGUAGAGAUACAGAUUCCCUUCGGGGGUACUGAGACAGGUGGUGCAUGGUUGUCGUCAGCUCGUGUCGUGAGAUGUUGGGUUAAGUCCCGCAACGAGCGCAACCCUUGUUGAUAGUUACUAACGCGUGAAGGUGAGGACUCUAUCAAGACCGCCGGGGACAACUCGGAGGAAGGUGGGGACGACGUCAAAUCAUCAUGCCCCUUAUGACCUGGGCUACACACGUGCUACAAUGGCCGACACAGAGAGGAGCGAACCCGCAAGGGGGAGCAGAUCUCAAAAAAGCGGUCUCAGUUCAGAUUGUGGGCUGCAACCCGCCCACAUGAAGGAGGAGUUGCUAGUAAUCGCGAAUCAGCAUGUCGCGGUGAAUACGUUCCCGGGCCUUGCACACACCGCCCGUCA
rnacentral:rRNA from 1 species